UACGAAGGGGGCUAGCGUUGCUCGGAAUCACUGGGCGUAAAGGGUGCGUAGGCGGGUCUUUAAGUCAGGGGUGAAAUCCCCCGGCUCAACUGGGGAACUGCACAGGAAACUAGCGGGCUUGAGUUCGGGAGAGGGAAGCGGAAUUCCGGGUGUAGCGGUGAAAUGCGUAGAUAUCUGGAGGAACACCGGUGGCGAAGGCGGCGAUCCUGGACCGG
rnacentral:rRNA from 1 species